GCAAGCGAAGGGAGGCCCAGCUUGGGGCCUGGGCCAUCUCUAGCUUCGGCCAUAGGAAUUCCUUUCACAGUCCUCUUGCAUCUCAGCUGGAGAAGGGGGUAUCCCAGAGAAGUCUUGGGUCUGUGCCACCACUGUGUCACAGCUGCCUUUCUUGAGACAGCUGUUCUAUGAUGGCCCUUGGUCUAGCUUGCUGAGUCUUCGUGUGGACUUCCGGAGACGGGCUCUCUCAUUAUCUCUGCUUUACAAAUAAACAAAGACGCAGAGAGACAGACUGAUCAUGUAAGUCGUACAACUGGUAAGUAGAAAGACCAGAGCUCAACCAUGUCGUUUAUGUUGAAUGAGUAGGCCCAGUGAAUGAGAGAGUAAACCGAGAUUGGACGUGGGGUAAGAAGAGUAAGGAGACAGAAAACCAUGGGGACUGGUGUGGUAUCCUCCUGGCAAAGGCUGGGACCAGCUUGGCACCCUGCUGGAGAGGCUCUGGGGAGAGGAAGGGAGUGGCAGAUGGGGCCAGAUGGCAGGGGCUGGAAGGCAUUGGAGGUGCUGGAAUUUAAGCCACAGUGAGGUGCCAUGGGGAUGAGCCACCUGGAUCCUUUGGUGUGGAUAAAUUGGCGAGCUGAGUGAAGGUCUUCAGGACAGCAAAUAGAUGGCAUCAGCCCAGCAGCCCAGGAGAGCCAAUUAUAACAAAGGCUCUGCAGUCAGUCUGCCAGAGGGCUGGGACACUUUUAGCCAGACAAGUAACCUAUAGUUACUGAGCCCCAAUUUUCUCAUCUAAAUCUCUGGUUGAAAAGAUUAAAAUCACUGUUUCAGUGCUCGACUCAUGAUACUCAAUAAACAGCCAUCUAUUAUUAAACCAGAAGUUUAAACCACUGGCUUACAUUAUGUAUGCAUGCACAUGGUACACAUACAUAUACAAUGCAAAUCAUUACAAAGUGAUUAAAGGACCUAAUAGAAAAGAUGGACAGCAUGCACAAACAGAUGGGAAGUUUCAGAAGAGGAAAAGCUGGCUGGCCACACUAACCCCAUGCUAAUGAGCCAUGAUGCCAGAGAGGAAGGAUUCUGGAGAUGAGAUUAGAAUUAGACUGGACACAGGAGAAAACGACAACUCAGUAAUGGUUUCGUAGCAAACCUCUGAUGCAGACAUCUCCAGCUGCAGCACCAACUCUCUGGAUGUGGCAGAGGUUGAAGCGCAGCCCCAGGUGCACCAUGCUUGGUGGGAUAGUGCCCACAUCCCUGAGCAAACAUGAUGGCAUCGCCACCUGUGCCAACUUCUUUCAGCACCAAGGCUUCAACAGUGAUCAGGAUGGAAACUCUGUUUCUGGGAAACUGGGCAGCCGCCGAAGGCUCUGAGCUGUUCUUAAUGCAGCCCUCCGGAGCUCACAGGCUAAGGGGGCGAGAGCGGGGAUGUUGGACUGAUAGAUAAAUAAAAUGUUCUGUUACAUGGUGGCUGAGCCAGUGAAGAAAGUCACAGAAGGGGACCUGAGGAAGAGAGUUGAGGGUGCAUUUUUAAAUAAGAUGCUUGGGCAGGGUCUGAAUAAGAAGGUAACAUUUGAACAACAAUCUAAACUGGGUAGCGUGCAGCAAGAAAGGGAAAGUCGAGGGUUCAUCGACAAACAGAAAGAGAGCCUCUCGGUCCAGCGCCUCCGUGAUGCCUCUCAGAGCUGAGAAUUGAGGAUUCCAGCGCUAUCAACAGUAGCUGUGAAGGUUACUGACAUAGGGGGAGUAUUUCUUCUACAGAUAUCUUCAAGUAAGGAUGUUAAAAUAGCAUCAAAACAGACUUCAGGUCUGGGUAUUUAUGGUCUCAAGUAGAGUCCCACUUCUCUUGUAUACAUUCUGGGAAUCCCAACAACGAUACGCUGAAUAUUUGUUUACAGUAAAGAUACCCUAACUGUGAUCCCUGUGAUCUAGAGUUUUGUCUGGAUUCCUGUCUGGUUUAUCUCAUGAGCCAUUAUGAUUUCAUUUAAAUUUCUUAGCACGGGCUGGAGAAAUGCACCAGCCAUUAAAGACUAAGUCUCACAACUCUUUGAAGACAAUAACUUUACAAUUACCAAAAUUACAUAUAUAAUAUAUAAACACACAUAUAUGUGUUUAUAUAUGUAUAUACAUACACAUAUAUAUGACUCUUGUGAAGCUAGGCAGCUUCCCCAAAGCGUAGUGGCUAUUAUCAUCACUUUUGGCAUCCUACCAACACUAGAUGUUAGAGUCCUACUGCUGGAGACACCACAUACUUUGGUUACAGGAUGUGGAGAAACCAAACUGGAAUUGAGCCGGAAACUUCCUCUCUGCUGGCCGCAUAUGUUUGGGCUUUCCUUGAGUGGAGCGCUGGGUAAGGAGUAAGGGGACUCCACCACGGGCUGCUGCAGUAAGGGGACUCCACCACGGGCUGCUGCAGCCUAGGAGCCGGAUUUCCCUCCCUGCUAUCACCAACAACGAAGGGAACCAUGUGACUGUCUUGGGAAGUGUUUGUUUCCACGCCCUGACCAGCCUGGCCUCCUCUCUCUCGGCCCUCCCACCUAUCCUCCCAGAAGUAAGAGAGAAGACUUCCUGAACAGCACAAAACUAUCAUUGUUUAGACUUCACUAUAACCCCCAUGCCUAAACACAGGCUCCAGAACCGUUAUAAUGACCUCUGGGUCCUGUCUGGUCUGUCUCUACUCUUCAUGGCUUUCCCCCCUCGGCCUCCACACUCAUCCCCCAGCAGACAGAAGAAGCUAUGCCCCAAGCACAUGCACAGAGAGGCUCUCACGCCUGUUCAUCUCAUGUAGAGUCCUCACAUUACUUGGUGGCCAGGUCCCACCCAUCUGCCAACUUCAGGGCCAGUGCAUCCUUCCCAGGUCAUACACACCCAGGUAGGGCUCCUUCUGCCCCACAGCCCAUUUACCCCCCAUCCCACUCAUGUUGUACUUCAAGACUGUGGGCACUACAGGUAGCCAUGGGCCCACGACAUCACCAACAGUGCCCAGCCGUCGGCCCGCUCUCCCACCGAGUCUGAUACUGUCUCAAGACCAGAGCGUUCCAAGUUAAUUGGAAUUAAAAUCAUUUGAAAGAGUCAACUAGAUAGGUUACAACUUGUUAGUCCCCGCCCCCCCAACCUCUGUUGCCUGUCAGUUACAUGCAGAUUUGUACUACAUGUGUGUCUUCACACACUGGUGCUCCAGGAGAGCAGGACUAAGUGUCAUCCAUCUCUCUCUAGCAGGCCACCACAGCCUGGUGAUGAGGAAGAACUCAUAAAUCCAGCCCUGACUGUGGCCUGGAGACAGCUGUCAGUUUGUCCCUGGCCAUGCAUUUCCCACGCAAGACAACUGCACCCCAGGGAAGGCCUCUGCUCAGAGCCACAGGGAAUAUAGCCAGCAGCCUCCGCCUGGGCAGGAGCAGGCACAUGCUAUCUGCCCUUCCACUUCCUCUCACCUCUUCAUGCCAAAGCUGCCCAGGCUCUCUGGAGCUUCCUGGGAUUUUUUUUUUCUUGUCUACUUCUGAUCAGCUGCCAACCUUGCCUGUUGACACAAGGCCUCCCACAGGAGGAAGCCCCGCAGCCAUUGGGGAAGCAUUUGAGGAACCAAAACACUGCCCCUCCCCCUAUGUCUCCGCAGGCCUCUGUCCAUGAGAAUUUUAGGUCUGACCUUGGUGCAGGCCUAAAGCUCACAGGGAAGGGUCAGGCUGGGCAACAGUGUAUCCCAUGAUGAGAGCCUUCUCACUGCUGGAAGCAUCACAUCAGGGUACCACAGUGCACAUCAGCAGGUCCAAUCAACUCAAGCCAGAAUGUGUUGGUCAAAUUUGGCCCAACGCAGUUUUUCAAAACUAUAUCACCCUUAUGCAGCCCUUUUUGGUGACUUCCCGUUUGCAUCUCGGUCGGUUACCAUUCUUCUGGUUGCUUGAUAAGCUCAUUUGCACAACCCUGAGAACAUAUUAGCUAACAUUUGUAACUGAAAAAAGUCUAGAAGUCACGUGUGCCACAGUUACAUUGAAAUCAAGAUCUUGGCUCCAAUUCUGUCCCUUCAUCUGAGCACAGGUCCUCAGUCUAGAUCUCCAACCUGGAUCCCUCAUGGAGGCAACAUGGCUACCCCAAUUCCAGGCGCCAUCGAUUCACACUGCACAUUUCUCUUCUCAUUGUGGAACAUCGUGAGCUCCCUAGCCCUGGUUAGCUACUCUUUGGGGCCAGCGGAAUGGGUAUCAGCCAACGAAAGUAUCCUUCUGAGGUGAAAUGAUCCCAUCUUCCACUAAGUCCAUGGUGAAAUCUUCUUCCUGGUGAGCUCCUUCUCAUGAACUCCACCCUGUUCUUCCCUGUUUUAGUCCUUUCUGUUUUAUUCUCCUAUUUGUUUUUUUCUCUCACCACAAAGGCAGCCAUCACUGAGCCCUGGGUGUGAAUCUUGGUAACACUUUUCUGUUCACUAGUAACUUGUUUAGGAAUGGCCAUACAACUUGUUUCUGGCUUAUGGAAAUGCAAGCAAAAAAAUCUGUGUAGGCUUUAAGGAAAGCUUUUGUCUUCCCGACACAGCAAAGAGGCUUGAUGACAAGGCCAUUUGCUCCCUUGAUUUUCCUUUCUCUUUAUACCCUGGAGGAGAACCUGGUACAUGGAGGUGUGGCGAUCAUAAUGGGGCCAUGGGGCAGCAAGUGUGAAAACAAAUGCGCCCUUCUCAAGAAUGGAAGACAGAACCCGGCAUCAUUGACAUAGACAUAGACAGCAUCAUUAGACAGCUGAACAUUCCCUGAGUAGCUAGCUCUUGGAAUGCUCUUAUUAAAAGAAUAAGAGAAGAGGAGGAGGAGAAAGAAGAAUAGGAGGAGGAGGAAGAGGAAGAAUAGGAGGAGGAAGGAAGGAAAAGAAACUAUUGGUGAAAUUAUUAAGGCCACUCCACGUAGUUAAAAGGAGAUUUAUUUAAUGGCGUAACUUACAAAUGAAGGGAUAGGUAGGUUGAGGGUUCUGGGAAAGAUGCAGUGUAGUCC